rnacentral:tRNA from 1 species
GCCAAGGUGGCAGAGUGGCUAUGCGUCCGAGUGCAGAUUGGAUCAGGGGAGUUCAAAUCUCCCCCUCGGCU